GACGAACGCUGGCGGCGUGCCUAAUACAUGCAAGUAGAACGCAGUUGCGAACGGGUGAGUAACGCGUAGGUAACUGCCUGGUAGCGGGGGAUAACAAUUGGAAACGCUAGCUAAUACCGCAUACUACCAGAGGGACCUGCGUUGUAUUAGCUAGUUGGUGGGGUAACGGCUCACCAAGGCAACGAUACAUAGCCGACCUGAGAGGGGGAGCCGCCAAACGUGGAAUGAGAAACGGCCCAGACUCCUACGGGAGGCAGCAGUAGGGAAACUUCGGCAAUGGACGGAAGUCUGACCGAGCAACGCCGCGUGAGUGAAGAAGGUUUUUGGAGCGUAAAGCUCUGUUGUAAGGGGAGCGGUAUCUUACCAAAAAGGGACGGCUAACUACGUGCCAGCAGCCGCGGUAAUAC
rnacentral:rRNA from 1 species